rnacentral:rRNA from 1 species
UACAGAGGUCCCGAGCGUUGUUCGGAUUCACUGGGCGUAAAGGGUGCGUAGGCGGUCGGGUAAGUCUGAUGUGAAAUCUCACAGCUUAACUGUGAAACUGCAUUGGAUACUAUUCGGCUUGAGAGUUGGAGGGGGGACUGGAAUUCUUAGUGUAGCAGUGAAAUGCGUAGAUAUCAAGAGGAACACCAGUGGCGAAGGCGAGUCCCUGGACAACUUCUGACGCUGAGGCACGAAAGCUAGGGGAGCAAACAGG